rnacentral:rRNA from 1 species
UACAGAGGGUGCAAGCGUUAAUCGGAAUUACUGGGCGUAAAGCGAGCGUAGGUGGCUUGAUAAGUCAGAUGUGAAAUCCCCGGGCUUAACCUGGGAACUGCAUCUGAUACUGUCAGGCUAGAGUAGGUGAGAGGAAGGUAGAAUUCCAGGUGUAGCGGUGAAAUGCGUAGAGAUCUGGAGGAAUACCGAUGGCGAAGGCAGCCUUCUGGCCUUAACCUGACGCUGAGGAGCGAAAGCUAGGGGAGCAAACGGG